UACGUAGGGGGCAAGCGUUGUCCGGAUUCAUUGGGCGUAAAGAGCGUGUAGGCGGCCAGGUAGGUCGGUUGUGAAAACUGGAGGCUCAACCUUCAGAGGUCGACCGAAACCAUCUGGCUAAAGUCCGGGAGAGGAGAGUGGAAUUCCUGGUGUAGCGGUGAAAUGCGCAGAUAUCAGGAGGAACACCGAUGGCGAAGGCAGGUCUCUGGGCCACUACUGACGCUGAGGAGCGAAAGCGUGGGGAGCGAACAGG
rnacentral:rRNA from 1 species